rnacentral:sRNA from 1 species
AUUGAAGAAAAAGUGUGGGAUUUCAAGGGAUUAAGCUAAUAAAGGUGGUGAGCCCUUUAACAAGGGUAUAGAGAUUGUGCCCGAAGAUCGAGAAUAGGAGUAUAUCGAGCUCCUAGUACUGCCCAAGGUAGCUUGUGGAUAGCAGAUAUCGUCAAGGAUUAUAGUCGGCUUUACUACAAAAAUUGUAGGUUUACUGCCUUUGUGCACUUUUGUUCCUUGAGGGCCCAUGAGUCACUGUAAAGUAAAUUUCAUAUCUUGGUUAUCUGUAUUAUAGUACGUAUGAAUUUAUUUAGCUUUUACAUUACAAAAA